GGCAAAGUUAGCGCUUCUAACUGACCGCUAGAGGACUCAGGGGGAUCGUUAAUGCACGCUGCCCUCUGGGGGUCGCGGAAGGAGACAGCUCCAGGGCUGUGAUGAAAUUUACUUGCCGACACCAGCCAGCAUCCGGCACUGAGGCUGAAAUACUGGAACAUAGAGAGAUGGACCUCAGUUAUUUGAAGCUAGGUGAAGAUGUCUUCUGGGUCACUAAUGCCUGACUUGCUUAGUCGAGAAACAAAUUCCCACCUAGAAAUUUUUACUCGUAUCCAAAUAUGUUGCCCUGAAGGAGGAAAAUUGUAUGUCAGAAUUAGAAAAUAAUAAGAUAUAAUGUAUACUGGCUUUAGAGAUUAGACAUUCAAAUUCCAGCUUGGCUGUUUACUAGCAUGAUAUGAUGAUGAAUGUAUUUGAUCUCUCUAAUUUUCAGUUUCCUUAUUUGGAAAAGGAAUAGUGCUUGGUAUGACGAUGCUUCAAAAACAGAAUCUAUUUGAUAAAGGAAGUUGUACUUGUUUUUUAUUUUUAUUUAACUUAAUACAACUGGACUCUCUGAUACCCUGCGUGUAUUCAGUGCUGUCUCCAGCUACCUUUGAUGAAAUCUGACAUUUCUGUCAGGAUUCAUCCAGACUCCAGACCAGUAAGAACCAGACCUGGUGAAAUGUGAGGUGCCCCAGAAAAAUCUACUGCUCCCAAACCUGCGGUGUUUUGUACUUUGGGCAAUGAGGUUUAAUAGUUCUCAUGAAUAUCAGAUGGUAGCCUAUCUUUCUAACAUUUUCCCACUCAUGUAGUCGGUAUGUCAAGCUGGAACUUUCAUCUGCAUGUCUGAUACCUCUGGUUUCUCAACGGAUGUGUGGCCUCAUCAUGAAUUACAGACGCCAGAACCAGCAGUGGGAAGGCAUAUAGUGGGAGGGUCAACCUGCCUAACUGACCCCUGCCAGUUUCACCUGGUACUGGUCUCUGCACCUAGGCUCUGUGAAGAGGACAUGUGCUUAGAGCUUUGCACUUUAGUUUUUUCUUUCCAUCUUCUUUUUCUUGUAAUAGUAAUGGAUUUCCACUGGUCCACCUGUUUUACUCCUCUGGAGUCCCAAAUAACCAUGUAUUUUCAGAAUAUCAACAUAGGAGGAUUUUUUAGGGCUUCCCAGGUUGUGCAGUGGUAAAGAAUCUGCCUGCCAAUGCAGGAGACCCAAGAGACUCCAGUUCGAUCCCUGGGUCAGGAAGACCACCUGGAGUAGGAAACAGCAACCUGCUCCAGUAUUCUUGCCUGGAAAAUCUCAUGGACAGAGGAACCUAGUGGGCUACAGUCCUUAGGAUUGCAAAGAGCCGGGCAAUAUUGACAUUCAUCUCAGCUCUUUGAAAGCAGGAAAAGGCUGAUCUGGAGGAUGCUGGCCGCUAGGAGAGAACAGAACAGGAGCUGUAGCAACACAGAAAGGGAGAGAGAAAUCAUGUCUAUAGGAGGGCAGGUUUAGCCCACCCACCUCACCCAGCCCAUUGGAGCUGCUUGGAUUUUCAGAGGAAAAUGAAGAAACCUUCUGUUCUUGCUCUAAGAUGGUGAGUAGAAGGAUGUGUGCGCCUCUUCUGCAAGACCUUUAAAAUUGCAACUAGCUGCUGAACAACCAUCAACAGGAGAAUGCUGGAUCCAACCAAAAAAAGGGCAAGGAGAAGCCCCAACAAGACAGUAGGGAGGGCAAAAUUGCAUUUAUAAUCAAGCCCCAUACCCACCAGAAACACUCAGAGGGCUCAAACAAAACCUUGUGCACACCAGGUCCCAAGGACCCCACAAGAGACUGAGCCAGACCUGCCUUUGAGUGUUUGCGUUUCUCCUAUGGAGUCAUGGGUCAACAGUGGCCUGCUGCACAGAUAGGGGAUCUGGCUACAGCAGACGUGGGAGGCACAGCAUGUGACAUAACUUCUCUGGGAGGAGGUUGCCAUUAGCCCCACCAUAGAGCCACCAAGUUCUAUGACCCCAAAAUUGGAGAACAAUUAUACCAAAGAAAUUCUCACACUGUUGCAAAAGUUCUAGGGCCCACAACAGAUUUCCCAACAUAGGGAUCCAACAAAGGGACUGAGAAC
ensembl:lncRNA